CUUGCUGGGUACUCGAGUGGCGAACGGGUGAGUAACACGUGGGUGAUCUGCCCUGCACUCUGGGAUAAGCCUGGGAAACUGGGUCUAAUACCGGAUAUGACCGACUGUCGCAUGGUGGUUGGUGGAAAGCUUUUGCGGUGUGGGAUGGGCCCGCGGCCUAUCAGCUUGUUGGUGGGGUAAUGGCCUACCAAGGCGACGACGGGUAGCCGACCUGAGAGGGUGAUCGGCCACACUGGGACUGAGACACGGCCCAGACUCCUACGGGAGGCAGCAGUGGGGAAUAUUGCACAAUGGGCGCAAGCCUGAUGCAGCGACGCCGCGUGAGGGAUGACGGCCUUCGGGUUGUAAACCUCUUUCACCAGGGACGAAGCGUGAGUGACGGUACCUGGAGAAGAAGCACCGGCCAACUACGUGCCAGCAGCCGCGGUAAUACGUAGGGUGCGAGCGUUGUCCGGAAUUACUGGGCGUAAAGAGCUCGUAGGCGGUUUGUCGCGUCGUCUGUGAAAUUCUGCAACUCAAUUGCAGGCGUGCAGGCGAUACGGGCAGACUUGAGUACUACAGGGGAGACUGGAAUUCCUGGUGUAGCGGUGAAAUGCGCAGAUAUCAGGAGGAACACCGGUGGCGAAGGCGGGUCUCUGGGUAGUAACUGACGCUGAGGAGCGAAAGCGU
rnacentral:rRNA from 1 species